GGCCAGACUCCUACGGGAGGCAGCAGUGGGGAAUAUUGCACAAUGGGGGAAACCCUGAUGCAGCAACGCCGCGUGAGUGAAGAAGUAUUUCGGUAUGUAAAGCUCUAUCAGCAGGGAAGAAGAUGACGGUACCUGAUUAAGAAGCCCCGGCUAACUACGUGCCAGCAGCCGCGGUAAUACGUAGGGGGCAAGCGUUAUCCGGAUUUACUGGGUGUAAAGGGGGCGCAGACGGCGAUGCAAGCCAGGAGUGAAAGCCCGGGGCCCAACCCCGGGACUGCUCUUGGAACUGCGUGGCUGGAGUGCAGGAGGGGCAGGCGGAAUUCCUGGUGUAGCGGUGAAAUGCGUAGAUAUCAGGAGGAACACCGGUGGCGAAGGCGGCCUGCUGGACUGCAACUGACGUUGAGGCCCGAAAGCGUGGGGAGCAAACAGGAUUAGAUACCCGUGUA
rnacentral:rRNA from 1 species